rnacentral:lncRNA from 1 species
AAAUAGUGUUUUAAAAUUUUCCAAAAAGAGAACACCGUCCAUAUUUUGGAUACUAGGAAUUAGAAUAUGCUGUUAUCAAGUAUAUUGGCAGGGCACAGAAGCAUGUAUACUUUGGUCAAAGAGAAUAAGUAAGGCAUAAGAUUGUGAGGAGACAUGGCCAGAUUUAAAUUCUAGAUUCUAAUUUCUAAGUGGCAAAAUUCAAAACAUCAUUCUUCUCCCUUCAAAAUCACACAAAUGUGCUAGGACAAAAGACAAAGAAUAUAGUCCUCAUGUCAAAGAAAGCAGGAAAUAUAUGUAGCCCAAAAAACCCCACAUGUGUUGAAGGGCCAGAGAAAUGCACAUGAUAAAAGUGCCCAUGGCUGUUCAACUCAAACAGAGAUGACAGAGUUCUCAGAGAAACAAUGCCAACAAUGUCCAUAGGCACAUCCUAGGCCUUCAGUAUCCUUAAAGAAGCCUAGCAGGGGCCAGUGAAGACUCUCCCAAAUAACAUCCAAAACAAAUCGAGACCAAAAGGUAGAGAUUGCAUCUUUUUUUAAAGGUCUUUCUUUGUUCUUUUCUUUUUCUUUUUUUCUUUUUUUGUUUGUUUUGUUUGUUUUUCAAGACAGGAUUUCUCUGUGUAGCCCUGGCUGUCCUAAAACUCACUCUGUAGACCAGGCAGGUGGAUCUGUGAGUUUGAGGCUAGCCAGGUCUACAAAGUGAGUUCCAGGACAGCCAGGACUACAGAGAGAAAUUCUAUCUUGGGGAAAAACAAACAACCAAACAAACAAAUAAAUGAACAAAAAAAUAGAGAGUCUCCCUGACCCUGAAGAAAGCUGUUUCAGUAUAACUGAAGGACCAGUAAGCCUUCAGGAUUCGCCUGCCUGCCUGCCGUCCAUGCCGACACUCACUCAGCAGGACCCACUGUGGACGCUUUCUGCAGGGAUGCUGUGGUCAGACCCAGGUCCUCAGGCCUCCUUGGCAAGCACGUGCACACUCAGCUUUUCUCCUGCCCCCAUUUCCAAUCCCACAGAAACCUCAGGCUUCUUAUGGUUUGAACAAGGCCUGUAUGUUUGCUUGUUUGUUUAUCUAAUAAACUGCUUGUUGGGAAGAAAGUAGUACACUUCAGGUCCCAUAUUACCCACGAGUUAAGGUUCAACAACCUCACAUAAGAGUGCUCUUAUUGCUAAGACACUCAGGGUAGUGCAGCACCAGGCUUUAUUAAGCAGAGACCUCUCAUUGUUAAAAGUGAGAUGAUUCCCUUAGAAGCUAUACACACUGCCAAAGGGAAUUAUGACCGAGAACAUGUUUUUGGUGAAUAGAUGCCAAAUACCCUUCUCACCUGAUGAUUACUGUUGUAAUAUUUGCCCAUUAGCUACUUUCAGCUCAGGAAAUAGAUUAGACCCUUAAUAGCCUAUGCAAUCAGGAAAUGAGCAACAUAUUUAUAGAUUCCACUAGUGAAUUUGAAAUAAAACUUCCUGCCUUUUAAAAAUGAAGGCUCCUGCCUAGAGAGAUGGCUCACUGCUUAAGCACACUUGCUGUUCUUUCAGGAGACCCCAAUUCAGUUCCCAGCACCCAUAUGAGACAACUUCCAGCCAUCCUAUAUAGAGUAACUGUAGGAACAACAUUAAGAGUAACUGUCCUAUAGACAGGCCAAAAGCAAGCCAUGUUUUUAGCUUUCCUUGGGGCCUUAAGGACCACCAAGGCUGGUUUUCAUCUGAAGUUGACCACUGUGAAGCUCUGUGGUUUGGGAACUGUGGUAUUAAAGCAGCUGAGUUAGAGGACCCAGAAGGCUCGCCCAGCCCUUAUACCACCUGGGUCCAAAUCUGUCAUUUCUUAGAUUCCUGAAUUCUGCCUUUUCAGCCUUGCUUUCUGUACCCGCUAAAGACAAAAACUCUUGGGAAAGAAAAUUUAAAUGGCAUAAUGUUUUUAAAAGAAAGGUUCAAGUCAAAGUGCUUUGAAAACACAUGAUUCUGAAGGUUGUAUUUUUUAAAGGUGUUGGAUUUUCUCUCUCUCUCUCUAUUUUCUCUCUCUCUCUCUCUCUCUCUGUGUGUAGACAAAUGCACGUGUUUUCAUUAUAUAUAUAAAAUUUAUACUAUUGCUAUAGCCCAUUGAUAAAAAUUAUAAUAGGUUGUAAAACUACGGGCCAUUAAAAUCUUGAACCUGCAUGUAUAUCAUUAUGUAUUGCUUGUUGACUCUUUUAUUCUUAACCCAGACAAUCGGACCUUCACAACAAAAUUGGGUUUUGUCAGAGGCAUUAUUAUUACUGUUAUUACUAUAAAAAAGAAAAGCACCCAGCCACCCACUAUCUGAUAACAAGUGCCCCAUCUAAGGAGUUCAGUUUGAAUAAUUUGAGUAUGGCUGCUGACUUCAUUCUGUAUGAGCAGUAGCCUAGCAAGUGUCUAGCACCAAGUUUGAUUCCCAGCACCAUACACACAGUUUGAAUAAUUCUUUCAUAAAUAGCAAUUCUUAGCAGUGUGAUUUAAAAUGCUGUAAAAGAAGUUUAAGUAGAUUUGGCUUCUCUCCCAUGCUGCUGUCUUAAAAUAAAGUAUGUCACAUGGCAUAUUGAUUACAGAAUUCAAGGCCAAUUACAUCCCAGAAACAAAACACUUCUUUCUCUCCCAUUAUGAUAUUCGUCACUAAUAUGUUUCCCUGUGAUUAUUUGUAAAAGCUGGCUUCAUCUAGUUUCUCCAUUAAGUUCUAUUCAAAGUAGACUUUAAAAGUAUUUUAGGAAAACUGGCCUGAUUGUCUUUACCUGCAACCCCAACUUGGGCAACUUAGUUAUACCGUGUCUUAAAAUAAAACAACAACAACAGUUUGAGGAUGAAGCUCAAUGCUCAAUACUUGUCUAUUAUAGCAACCUGGGCUCAGUCUCCACUGUGUAGGUAGGAUUUGGGGGAACACAAGGAGGAAAUCAUUUAGUGAAUAAAGGGAUUGGGAAUUGUUACCUGGUUCCAUAUACAUAUGGUUUCGAAUACAAUAAUAAAAAGUGAAAUAGCUAGGCAUAGUGGCACAUGCCUGCAAUUAUAGUAUCUGGAAGCUGAGGCAGGAGGAUUGUAAGCUGAAGGCCAGACAACCUGGCAUACAGAAAUUUAUGGCAAUUUUAUGGGGGUGGGUCCAUAGCAAGAUGCCAUCUCAAAU